UUUUAAGAAGCUAUAAGCUAUGGCCUCUUAAGCCAUCUAAGGGUAACCCUUAAAGG
rnacentral:tRNA from 1 species